CAUUUGAGGUUUUAGUCAUCCUUAGUAUUAAUCCAGAGGGAAUCCACUAUACGGGGGUCCCUAUGGGACAAGUGUUCCCUACGUGAAAAUUUGUUCUUUAAAAGGUACACUCCAGUCCAAGUUAAAAUGAAGUACUGCAUUACAUACAGGGCACAAAGACUAUUUCAGUAAUAUUAUUUUUUUGUCAAGGCAUUGCUACAUUACACCAGUUUACCCAGUCCUUUUCUCAGCAAUCUAUGGAUCAGAGAUACAGGAAUACAGUGUGAAAUCAUUAAACAUGGGCUUACUUAGAUGGAGGCUUACAACAGUGAAACUAAGAAGAAAAUAUUAGGGUUCCUCAGGAAGCUCGUAGUGAAGAGCUGCUUCAUUUCUUGAUGUGUUAUUUAAAAUAAGUUUUAUUAAAACAAAUCAGUGGACUUACGGAGAAAAUAUUCGGCAGUGUCUGCUUCAUAAUCUGCAUCCUCUGGAAAGUGGUCAAUUUGUUUGCACACGCCCUUAAAAUUACCUAAAGAGAGAUGUGAAAAAUGUGUCAGAAUUUUCUUCGCAAGGUUAUUGUCAACAUGAUGACCCAUUCAAACACACUUGCACUAAACAUUAACAUCACCACUACAAUGCCAUCUUUCUGCUGCCUAUGCCUGGCAUGUACAAUGCAAAGUUAUUUUAAUUAACGGUGGA